rnacentral:SRP_RNA from 1 species
UCCAGGCUCAGUGGUGCGUGCCUCUAGUUCCAGCUACUCGGGAGGCUGAGGCUGGAGGAUCUCUUGAGUGCAGGAUUUCUGGGCUGCAGUGUGCUAUGCUGAUCGGGUGUCUGCACUAAGUUUGGCAUUGAUAUGGUGACCUCCUGGGAGUGGGGGACCACCAGGUUGCCUAAGGAGGGGUGAACCGGCCCAGGUCGGAAAUGGAGCAGAUCAAAACUCCCGUGCUGAUCAGUAAUGGGAUCGAGCCUGUGAAUAGCCACUGCACUCCAGCCUGGGCAACACAGCAAGACCCUAUCUCU